ACAAACCAACAGAAAUGGCAGGCAAUGGCUAACACAGCUCCCACAAGCUGCGGCAAAGAGGCAUCGGCGGCAAUCGUUUGCUCACAACCCCACCGCCAGCAGCGCUUACCAAGAGACAGAACUAGAAAACAAAUUGCAGAAAGCCACAGUACCUGCUCGGUAACCGGAAUGGACUCCCAUCGGCGCUUCAACAAGAGCAAGGGUCUCCGUUUCAUGGUUCCCUGUCUUUUUGCCUCUUAGAGCUCUUUCCCCUCCCUCAGGAGAAUUUCAAGCCAACAGAGAAGAUGCUAUUUCCGAUCCCAAAGUUGCAUUGUUCAAGUCGAAGGCAGGGAUCGCAAAGUUUUGUGUUUGCUGAAGGUGCUGCGAGACAGAUGAGCAUCGUCUCAUAGAGCCUGGGAAAGGAAGGACUGCCUGUUCCCUGAAGACCAAGGGUUACGCCUCGCCACCCACUCAACAAACCAACAGCACUGGGACCGUAUCGGCAACUAAAUCCUGUCCAUAUGGCACCCUCAAUAAACUGCCUUUAAAACACA